GACGAACGCUGGCGGCGUGCCUAAUACAUGCAAGUAGAACGCUGAAGCGAGGAGCUUGCUCUUCUUGGAUGAGUUGCGAACGGGUGAGUAACGCGUAGGUAACCUUCCUUGUAGCGGGGGAUAACUAUUGGAAACGAUAGCUAAUACCGCAUAACAAUGGAUGACACAUGUCAUUUAGUUGAAAGGGGCAAUUGCUCCACUACAAGAUGGACCUGCGUUGUAUUAGCUAGUAGGUGAGGUAACGGCUCACCUAGGCGACCAUACAUAGCCGACCUGAGAGGGUGGUCCGCCCAACCGGGAACGGGGCACGGCCCCGACUCCUACCGGGGGCAACAGUAGGGAAACUUCGGACAUGGGGGGCACGCUGACCGCGCCAAGACGCGUGAGGGAAGAAGGGUUUCGGAUCGUAAAGCUCUGUUGUAAGUGAAGAAAGAGCGUGAGAGUGGAAAGUUCACACUGUGACGGUAGCUUAACAGAAAGGGACGGCUAACUACGUG
rnacentral:rRNA from 1 species